AACGGCUGGCGGCGCGUCUAAGCAUGCAAGUCGGACGGCAAGGGUUGUGCUUAGCACGAACUCCUAGAGUGGCGGACUGGUGAGUAACGCGUGGGUGACCUGCCCUCGAGAUGGGGAUAGCCAUUAGAAAUAGUGGAUAAUACCGGAAUACGCUCAUGACCCUGUGGGGAUAUGAGGAAAAACCGGCUACGGCCUGGCUCGAGGAUGGGCCCGCGUCCCGAUUAGCUAGUUGGUGAGGUAACGGCCCACCAAGGCGACGAUGGGUAUCCGGCCUGAGAGGGUGUACGGACACAUUGGGACUGAGAUACGGCCCAAACUCCUACGGGAGGCAGCAGCUAAGAAUAUUCCGCAAUGGACGAAAGUCUGACGGAGCGACGCCGCGUGGAUGAAGAAGGCCGGAAAGGUUGUAAAAUCCUUUUGCUGAUGAAGAAUAAGUGUGGUAGGGAAUGACCGCAUGAUGACAUUAGUCGGUGAAUAAGCCCCGGCUAACUACGUGCCAGCAGCUGC
rnacentral:rRNA from 1 species